rnacentral:snoRNA from 1 species
ACGACAUGAUGGAGACAUUUUCUAAUGAGGUCCUUUAAUCUUUCCCAUGUCUCAUGGAAUUUUUCACUAUCGUGCUAAGAGAAACUAGUGAGAGCUUGCCUUAUUUG